AGAGUUCCAAAAUGGCCAGCAGCAGUCUGAACUUCCAGCUCAAUGCCACCAUUGUUCUGCCUCCCGGUAGAAACAUUUUCCCCUUUCGGCAUCAAGAUUUCUUGGCCAGCAGAGCAAAGGCCACAGACAGAAGGAGCAAAUUUUGCAACCAGUUCCAGGUCAACAUGGGAAGACUCUUGUGACUGUUGCUCGGCCUUAUCAACUGUGGUGAUCAUGCCCUCCUGCCUCUGCUGGCUGAGUGCCAACCUUCCCCUCUGCCACCAUGGAAACUGGGAAAAACAUCACAAAGACCAUCUGUGUCUCAGGACUCUGACGCCAAGACGCCAAAGCUACUCUUACUAAUUUGGAAUAAACAUCAUCAAUGGAGGUCA